UACGAAGGGGGCUAGCGUUGCUCGGAAUCACUGGGCGUAAAGGGUGCGUAGGCGGGUCUUUAAGUCAGGGGUGAAAUCCUGGAGCUCAACUCCAGAACUGCCUUUGAUACUGAAGAUCUUGAGUUCGGGAGAGGUGAGUGGAACUGCGAGUGUAGAGGUGAAAUGCGUAGAUAUCUGGAGGAACACCGGUGGCGAAGGCGGCAUCCUGGACCGGUAUUGACGCUGAGGCGCGAAAGCCAGGGGAGCAAACGGG
rnacentral:rRNA from 1 species